UCACACAGCUGCUCCAGGAUGAGGGAUAAACUCAAAGCCAAAUUGAAUCCUGGCAAGGGAACAGUAUGGAGGUG